rnacentral:tRNA from 1 species
GCCUUCGUGGUGUAGUGGUCAGCACGCUCGACGCAUAACCGAGAGGUCCGUGGUUCGAUUCCCGGCGAAGGCA